AUUGAACGCUGGCGGCAUGCCUUACACAUGCAAGUCGAACGGCAGUACGGGGCAACCUGGUGGCGAGUGGCGAACGGUGAGUAAUGCAUCGGAACGUGCCAUUGAGUGGGGGAUAACGUAGCGAAAGUUGCGCUAAUACCGCAUAUUCUGUGAGCAGGAAAGCAGGGGACCGCAAGGCCUUGCGCUCUUUGAGCGGCCGAUGUCAGAUUAGCUAGUUGGUGAGGUAACGGCUUACCAAGGCGACGAUCUGUAGCGGGUCUGAGAGGAUGAUCCGCCACACUGGAACUGAGACACGGUCCAGACUCCUACGGGAGGCAGCAGUGGGGAAUUUUGGACAAUGGGCGCAAGCCUGAUCCAGCCAUGCCGCGUGAGUGAAGAAGGCCU
rnacentral:rRNA from 1 species